rnacentral:rRNA from 1 species
AUACGUAGGGGGCGAGCGUUGUCCGGAAUGAUUGGGCGUAAAGGGCGCGUAGGCGGCCCGGUAAGUCUGGAGUGAAAGUCCUGCUUUCAAGAUGGGAAUUGCUUUGGAUACUGUCGGGCUUGAGUGCAGGAGAGGUAAGUGGAAUUCCCAGUGUAGCGGUGAAAUGCGUAGAGAUUGGGAGGAACACCAGUGGCGAAGGCGACUUACUGGACUGUAACUGACGCUGAGGCGCGAAAGUGUGGGGAGCAAACAGGAUUAGAUACCCUGGUAGUCCACACUGUAAACGAUGAAUGCUAGGUGUAGGGGGUAUCGACCCCUUCUGUGCCGCAGUCAACACAAUAAGCAUUCCGCCUGGGGAGUACGGCCGCAAGGUUGAAACUUAAAGGAAUUGACGGG